rnacentral:rRNA from 1 species
CCUACGGGAGGCAGCAGUGGGGAAUAUUGGGCAAUGGGCGCAAGCCUGACCCAGCAACGCCGCGUGAAGGAAGAAGGCUUUCGGGUUGUAAACUUCUUUUGUCAGGGAAGAGGAGAAGACGGUACCUGACGAAUAAGCCACGGCGAACUACGGGCCAGCAGCCGCGGUAAUACGUAGGUUGCAAGCGUUGUCCGGAUUUACUGGGUGUAAAGGGCGUGUAGCCGGGUUGACAAGUCAGAUGGGAAAUCCUGCGGCUUAACCGCAGAACUGCAUUGGAAACUGUUGAUCUUGAGUACUGGAGAGGCAGAUGGAAUUCCUAGUGUAGCGGUGAAAUGCGUAGAUAUUAGGAGGAACACCAGUGGCGAAGGCGGUCUGCUGGACAGCAACUGACGGUGCGGCGCGAAAGCGUGGGGAGCAAACAGGAUUAGAUACCCUUGUAGUC